rnacentral:lncRNA from 1 species
AUUGGGUUCAAGAUAACUUUGCUAGCACAUGAUUGGAUCUAAUUUUUUUUUAUGUUUAAAUUUUUUAUUUGAUAAGAUAAUUUAAAUUUAAUUAUCUGCUAAUAAUCUACAUGAAUUAGAUUUAUUAGACUCUAAUUGUUGGGUGUCUAAGAUUUUAGAUCAAAUGAAUGAGGGUGCAAGUUUCUAAUUAAUAUUCCUUGAUAGUUAUUAUGGGGCAUCACCUUGAUUUGAUCAAGUUUGACAUGUCCUAUAAUUAAAGGGCCUUUUGAUUUCAUAUG